rnacentral:snRNA from 2 species
GUGCUCACUUUGGCAGCACGCACACUAAAAUUGGAAUGACCAGAGAAGAUUAGCAUGGCUCCUGUACAAGGAUGACAAGCAAAUUCAUGAAAUAUUCCAUAUUUUU